rnacentral:rRNA from 1 species
GACGAACGCUGGCGGCGUGCUUAACACAUGCAAGUCGAACGAUGAACCGGUUUCGGCCGGGGAUUAGUGGCGAACGGGUGAGUAACACGUGGGCAAUCUGCCCUGCACUCUGGGACAAGCCCUGGAAACGGGGUCUAAUACCGGAUAUGACACGCUCCCGCAUGGGAUGUGUGUGGAAAGCUCCGGCGGUGCAGGAUGAGCCCGCGGCCUAUCAGCUUGUUGGUGGGGUGAUGGCCUACCAAGGCGACGACGGGUAGCCGGCCUGAGAGGGCGACCGGCCACACUGGGACUGAGACACGGCCCAGACUCCUACGGGAGGCAGCAGUGGGGAAUAUUGCACAAUGGGCGAAAGCCUGAUGCAGCGACGCCGCGUGAGGGAUGACGGCCUUCGGGUUGUAAACCUCUUUCAGCAGGGAAGAAGCGAGAGUGACGGUACCUGCAGAAGAAGCGCCGGCUAACUACGUGCCAGCCGCCGCAGUAAUAC